rnacentral:rRNA from 1 species
AUUGAACGCUGGCGGCAUGCCUUACACAUGCAAGUCGAACGGCAGCACGGGGCAACCUGGUGGCGAGUGGCGAACGGGUGAGUAAUGCAUCGGAACGUACCUUUCAGUGGGGGAUAACGUAGCGAAAGUUACGCUAAUACCGCAUAUUCUGUGAGCAGGAAAGCAGGGGAUCGCAAGACCUUGCGCUGAUUGAGCGACCGAUGUCAGAUUAGCUAGUUGGUGAGGUAAAGGCUCACCAAGGCGACGAUCUGUAGCGGGUCUGAGAGGAUGAUCCGCCACACUGGAACUGAGACACGGUCCAGACUCCUACGGGAGGCAGCAGUGGGGAAUUUUGGACAAUGGGGGCAACCCUGAUCCAGCCAUGCCGCGUGAGUGAAGAAGGCCUUCGGGUUGUAAAGCUCUUUCGGCCGGGGAGAAAUCGCACGGGCUAAUACCCUGUGUGGAUGACGGUACCGGAAUAAGAAGCACCGGCUAACUACGUGCCAGCCGCCGCCGUAAUAC